UAGGCCUUGGCCUCCUUUUAUCUCUUACUUGGGUUGCCUGUCUUAGGUUUGAUCUAUAACACUCUUCUGUCUCAAGAUUUUAGAGCUGUUCCGAUACCAUAAUGCUCAUUAAAUCUAAUGUCUUUGUUCUAGGGUAAACUGGUCCAUGCUAAUUUUGGUACUAAAAAAGAUUUUGAGGAUUUAUACACUCCUGUGAAUGGAUCUAUAGUGAUUGUCAGAGCAGGGAAAAUCACCUUUGCAGAAAAGGUUGCAAAUGCUGAAAGCUUAAAUGCAAUUGGUGUGUUGAUAUACAUGGACCAGACUAAAUUUCCCAUUGUUAACGCAGAACUUUCAUUCUUUGGACAUGCUCAUCUGGGGACAGGUGACCCUUACACACCUGGAUUCCCUUCCUUCAAU
rnacentral:lncRNA from 1 species